GUGAAGAUGCAGUGUACCCGCGGCAAGACGGAAAGACCCCGUGAACCUUUACUAUAGCUUGACACUGAACAUUGAGCCUUGAUGUGUAGGAUAGGUGGGAGGCUUUGAAGUGUGGACGCCAGUCUGCAUGGAGCCGACCUUGAAAUACCACCCUUUAAUGUUUGAUGUUCUAACGUGGACCCGUAAUCCGGGUUGCGGACAGUGUCUGGUGGGUAGUUUGACUGGGGCGGUCUCCUCCUAAAGAGUAACGGAGGAGCACGAAGGUUGGCUAAUCCUGGUCGGACAUCAGGAGGUUAGUGCAAUGGCAUAAGCCAGCUUGACUGCGAGCGUGACGGCGCGAGCAGGUGCGAAAGCAGGUCAUAGUGAUCCGGUGGUUCUGAAUGGAAGGGCCAUCGCUCAACGGAUAAAAGGUACUCCGGGGAUAACAGGCUGAUACCGCCCAAGAGUUCAUAUCGACGGCGGUGUUUGGCACCUCGAUGUCGGCUCAUCACAUCCUGGGGCUGAAGUAGGUCCCAAGGGUAUGGCUGUUCGCCAUUUAAAGUGGUACGCGAGCUGGGUUUAGAACGUCGUGAGACAGUUCGGUCCCUAUCUGCCGUGGGCGCUGGAGAAUUGAGGGGGGCUGCUCCUAGUACGAGAGGACCGGAGUGGACGCAUCACUGGUGUUCGGGUUGUCAUGCCAAUGGCACUGCCCGGUAGCUAAAUGCGGAAGAGAUAAGUGCUGAAAGCAUCUAAGCACGAAACUUGCCCCGAGAUGAGUUCUCCCUGACUCCUUGAGAGUCCUGAAGGAACGUUGAAGACGACGACGUUGAUAGGCCGGGUGUGUAAGCGCAGCGAUGCGUUGAGCUAACCGGUACUAAUGAACCGUGAGG
rnacentral:rRNA from 1 species